UGAAGAGUUUGAUCAUGGCUCAGAUUGAACGCUGGCGGCAGGCCUAACACAUGCAAGUCGAGCGGCAGCACAGAGAAACUUGUUUCUCGGGUGGCGAGCGGCGGACGGGUGAGUAAUGCCUGGGAAAUUGCCCUGAUGUGGGGGAUAACCAUUGGAAACGAUGGCUAAUACCGCAUGAUGCCUACGGGCCAAAGAGGGGGACCUUCGGGCCUCUCGCGUCAGGAUAUGCCCAGGUGGGAUUAGCUAGUUGGUGAGGUAAGGGCUCACCAAGGCGACGAUCCCUAGCUGGUCUGAGAGGAUGAUCAGCCACACUGGAACUGAGACACGGUCCAGACUCCUACGGGAGGCAGCAGUGGGGAAUAUUGCACAAUGGGCGCAAGCCUGAUGCAGCCAUGCCGCGUGUGUGAAGAAGGCCUUCGGGUUGUAAAGCACUUUCAGUUG
rnacentral:rRNA from 1 species